AGUGUGGCUGGAGGGGUGCACAGGGAAUGGCAUAGAAAAGGGAAUUGUCCCUCAGGAGCAGAGGGUUAUGAUGUCAGAGGCGAGGCGUGAACCAGUUCGCAUAGCACUUUCUAGGACAUAAUAAGGAGUGUGAAUUCUAUGUUGCCAUGGGAAGCCAGCAUCCUUGCACGAGGUGGUUAAGUGCUGAGAGAAAAUAAAUCAGGUUAAGGGGCUAGAGAGAGACUGGAAGGCUGGGGAGGCUAUUUAAAACAGGCAGAGGAGCUCUCUCUGAGGAAGUGACUUUAGGACUGAGUCUUGAACUAUCUGAAACAGCGACCAUGCAGAUUUCUGGGAUAAGCCAGUUCCAGGCAGAGAAAAUAGCACUGAAGUGGGAAUAAGCAUGACAUAUCCUGGAAAGAGCAAGAAGAUCAGCGUGGCGAGGGCACAAUACCAGAGGAAGCAGGGGGAGGAGGACAGCCCUGCGGAGGCAGUGGGAUGGUACUUGGCUUUUAUUCUAAAUACACUGGGAAGAUUUGGGAGGACUCUUGCUUUUUUGUUGAGGGAACUGGCUGAAAACCCAGUAGAUUUUGUGGCCGUUCUUGACUAAGAAGAGUGUGGAACAAAGCCACAGAGUCACAGCCCCAGACAAGACCUGAAUGAAGUGCUACAGCCUGGUGGUGGCAAGACUGGGAGGGAAACAGAAGAGCACUAUGAGACAGAAUCCAGAAGCAAGGAGAGGAAGGAAAGGCCUCGGAGCCCCUAAGGAGAAGGAGGGUAAACACUCAGGAGCAGGAUUGCUGGGUGAUAUGAAUGCACAUUUUCCCCCUGGAUCGCAAAUAAUCUGAACCAGGGUAAAACCAUUACAAAGUGGCCUUCAAACAUCAUGUCUGUAUUUGAACUGAAUGACUGAUCAGACAUUUAAAUACAGAAACUGGGAAUUCAGCUGACCAGAAUUUCACCAGGGUGACAUGACAGUUUGUUGCUAAGGAACUGAAGACUAUGUCAUAAGUGAGCAUUCUGAUGAAGAGGAGUGAACAGUUUGCAACAGAUUGGAUAUUAAGAAUAAAUCAGCUCUCUGUGUACGUCCUUGUGUGGUGGUAUAACUGACAACAGGUAGAGUCCCUCAUGGGAUUGGGUUCCGCCAAUAAGAGCCACUUGCAUGAGACCUCAACUGAGAGCGAGGAUGUCACCUCCACCAGAACAAGGACUAGGUUUUGUAUGUUGCUGUUCCUUUAGUGCCAGAACAUGCCCACCCCUGGUCAGUAAAUAAGCAUUAAGUGAAUGAAUUAAUAAGUGAAAGGCUGUGUUUGAAGAGGAGGGGCUCACUCCAAAUCUUGAAGAUGUUCAGCCUCGAAAAAGUAGAAGUCAUUAUGACCAAAGAUGAUGCCACCACACCUUUGAAAAAGAAAGGUGAUGAGCCUCAGAUGGAAAAACAUUCAAGAAAGGUCAAUACUACCGAGUAUGAAUGAACACAUAGCAAAAAUUUCAGAUGGAACAGCCAUGCCAAGGGCUUGUGGGACAGGUGAGGCUGAGUGAAUAAAAAGAAGCAGCCCCAGGGACACUCAAGGUGGUUCCAGCUGCUUGUGAAGGAGGCUUCUUUCUAAGAGGCGGCUGGGCUUGGUUUCGGUGUAUUCCAGUUUGGGACUCAUGAACUGCAACUAAUAAAGAUCAAAAAACUGA